rnacentral:rRNA from 1 species
AGUGAACGCUGGCGGUAGGCCUAACACAUGCAAGUCGAACGGCAGCACAGUAAGAGCUUGCUCUUACGGGUGGCGAGUGGCGGACGGGUGAGGAAUACAUCGGAAUCUACUUUUUCGUGGGGGAUAACGUAGGGAAACUUACGCUAAUACCGCAUACGACCUACGGGUGAAAGCAGGGGAUCUUCGCACCUUGCGCGAUUGAAUGAGCCGAUGUCGGAUUAGCUAGUUGGCGGGGUAAAGGCCCACCAAGGCAACGAUCCGUAGCUGGUCUGAGAGGAUGAUCAGCCACACUGGAACUGAGACACGGUCCAGACUCCUACGGGGGGCAGCAGUGGGGAAUAUUGGACAAUGGGCGCAAGCCUGAUCCAGCCAUACCGCGUGGGUGAAGAAGGCCUUCGGGUUGUAAAGCCCUUUUGUUGGGAAAGAAAAGCAGCAGGUUAAUACCCCGCUGUUCUGACGGUACCCAAAGAAUAAGCACCGGCUAACUUCGUG